ACGAAUCCAAAGGACAAACAGUCCAAACAGUCAAACAAAAAACCACGGAACAUGGGCAAACACAGAACUGCGCAGCAAGAUGCCAUAUUCAUCGCAUUUAUGGAGAGACACCCAAUGAUAGCCAAAAACUACCUCAAGGGUGAUAAGCUGGCAGCUGAAGCCGCCUGGAAGCGGCUUUCAAAGGAGUUAAAUAGCGUGGGUCCGCCUGUCAAAGAAGUUUGUGAGUGGAAAAGAGUAUG